GACGAACCGUGCAAACGUUGUUCGGAAUCACUGGGCUUAAAGGGCGCGUAGGCGGCUUGCCAAGUCAGGGGUGAAAUCUUUCGGCUUAACCGGAAAAGUGCCUUUGAUACUGGCAGGCUUGAGGGAGGUAGGGGCAUGUGGAACUUCCGGUGGAGCGGUGAAAUGCGUUGAUAUCGGAAGGAACGCCGGUGGCGAAAGCGACGUGCUGGACCUCUUCUGACGCUGAUGCGCGAAAGCUAGGGGAGCAAACGGG
rnacentral:rRNA from 1 species